GACGAACGCUGGCGGCGUGCUUAACACAUGCAAGUCGGACGGUAAGGCCCUUCGGGGUACACGAGUGGCGAACGGGUGAGUAACACGUGGGUGAUCUGCCCUGCACUUCGGGAUACGCCUGGGAAACUGGGUCUAAUACCGGAUGGGACUCCGGACUGCAUGGUCUGGGGUGGAAAGCUUUUGCGGUGUGGGAUGGGCCCGCGGCCGAUCAGCUUGUUGGUGGGGUGAUGGCCUACCAAGGCGACGACGGAUAGCCGGCCUGAGAGGGUGACCGGCCACACUGGGACUGAGAUACGGCCCAGACUCCUACGGGAGGCAGCAGUGGGGAAUAUUGCACAAUGGGCGCAAGCCUGAUGCAGCGACGCCGCGUGAGGGAUGACGGCCUUCGGGUUGUAAACCUCUUUCAGCAUCGACGAAGCGAAAGUGACGGUAGGUGCAGAAGAAGGACCGGCCAACUACGUGCCAGCCGCCGCCGUAA
rnacentral:rRNA from 1 species